AAUCUGUCCAUGGGUGGGGGAUAACGUCGGGAAACUGACGCUAAUACCGCAUGAUACCUGAGGGUCAAAGGCGUUAAGUCGCCUGUGGAGGAGCCUGCGUUUGAUUAGCUAGUUGGUGGGGUAAAGGCCUACCAAGGCGAUGAUCAAUAGCUGGUCUGAGAGGAUGAUCAGCCACAUUGGGACUGAGACACGGCCCAAACUCCUACGGGAGGCAGCAGUGGGGAAUAUUGGACAAUGGGCGCAAGCCUGAUCCAGCAAUGCCGCGUGUGU
rnacentral:rRNA from 1 species